GUGAUAACGAUCCCGGAAUUGUUGAAGCGAUUCGAAAGAAAACGAAGGAAGUUCACGAGGAAGCCGAAGCGUCUCGUAUCGCAAAAGAAGAGGAAAUGGGUCGAAUCAGGAAAAAAAAUCAAGCCGAAAAGAAAUAUAAGUGGAAAUAUGACCUUGCUACUCCUAAGCCUUUGGGAACUCAUCAAAAAGACGGUAAAAAUUUGAAUGCUUCCCACCGAAACCCAAGGGGCAUGUGGAUUAAAGCCAAGGGAUCAUUAUCGAUGACCCACCACCUCAAGCGGAGCAACCAACACAUGAAGAAUAUGAUUCUGAAACACCUACUGAACAAGAAGGUGAUGAUAGAUAAAUUGAAGAAGAAAAAGGUGAUGAGGAAGGUGGUGGAAAGGAAGGUGGUGAAGAAGAAAGUGAUGAGAGUGAAAGUGAUGAGGAAGGUGGUGGCAAGGAAGGUGGUGAAGAAGAAGGUGAGGAUGAAAGUGAUGAAGAGAUAAGAGAAGUCAUUCAAGAACAAGAAGUUCAACAACAAGACCAAGGAGGAGAUGCUAAAGAAAAAGGUAAGAAGAAAGAAGGAUAAAAGAAGAAGAAAGGUGACCACAUGCCUGACCCGCUGAAGAUGUUUGCUCGCGGCCCUGAUGAUCAUGAUCCAACUUUAGGGAUACCCGGUGAUGGAGGAAAGGUAUUAUGGGGUUACAAAGACAGUUGGGCCUCCGUCGUUUACAAUACCAUAGAUCACAAGGAUUCCGUUCGUCUUAUGAAGCCAUGAACGUCAAUGAGUAUGAUGAGGAAAUGGCCACUGGAAGAAAUAGAAACAACCAUUGGAGAAGCUCCGUAAGUAAUCAAUCUAGUCAAUUCUACGGGGUUGAUACCUGCGGUCGAGAAUUUGGACCUUGGUUACGACGGACCUCUUUGUUCCGCCUUUGCCGAGAGAUACUACGGGGAAACAGAUACUUUACAUCUUCCGUUUGGAGAAAUGACGAUAACUCCAAAUAAUGCGAAGUUAAUUACCAGCCUAAGCAUAUACAAGGUAAAACCGUGAAGCACAAAGGGUACGAGCCAGAGCUUGGGUGGGACAAGAUUUAUGCGUGGACCAAGAAAGUGUUCCAAUGGGAUGAGGAGAAGACCAAGAAGGAGAUGCUAGUAGGCAAGACAAAGCAGAGGAUAUUCCAUCUCUCGAGGCUGAGGGACAACUUCAUGGGAACAAAGAAGCUUCGUGCUGAGGGAAAAGAGGUGACGUCGCAACGUAUCAUCGCCACGGCUAAUGCGUAUGUCCUCUAUAUCCUGGGAGCUGUAAUCUUCCCCGACGUUUCCGGUGUCCGUGUGAGCGCCAACUUUAUCCAGAUUUUGCAACCAUUUGGAAAGAUUCGCGAAUACUCUUGGGCCACUUCCAUCCUUGCACACUCGUUGAAUGAGUUGAGAAAGGCUUCUAGGUCUCAAAGGAACCAAAUAGGAGAGAAUAUGGCUUUUCUGCAGGCUUGGAUAUAUAUGCACUUCCCAAUAUUUUCUAAAAGGGCUUUUGAGAACAAGGAUUGGGACAGAGAGAAUUAUGGAGACAAGUACAACUACAAAAGUAAGCCGAAGAAACAAAAAAUGGAUUUUCUGAAUUUGAGACGCCAGUUAGACAACUUGACGACGAAAGGAUAUUGUCUUUGAUACUUACAAGGAGGAUUUGGCUAAAGGAAAAGGAAAAGGAAAGAAGGUUGGCUGCCGAGAGCAAAGUGAAUAUUUUGGGCCUUUGUUUCACCCAAGAGGAUAUGUAAUGUACAACCCGACGAGAGUCGAAAGACAAUGCGGUUACGUACAAAAAAUCCCAAAGGCGCACAAGAUGUUCAACAUCAAUGAGACAAAAACCAAAUCACAUGAUAAUGAUAUUGUCAUUAUUCACAAGCCUUUCCUAUCAUGUGAUUAUUGGAAUGACAGAGCGUUCCACAGAUAUCCUUUGGAUGGUCCAUCUCCAGUAGAUGACGCGGCAAUUCCGGGUUACAUAUCGUGGUACCUCAAAGUUUUGCAUACUCGAGUGAUACGAGUAGAUGAGAGGCCCAAGAUAGAGGACAAAGAUACGGAUCUCGAUUACUUGAGAAGACGAGUCGACACUUGAUAACCCAAGAAAAGCUAGAAAUCAGGAAAGGGAAAAAUGUGAAGGCCAAUGAAAAGAUAAUUGAUGAAUUGAAUGGUCUCGAAGAUGUAGAAGAUGGUGCAAAGUUUGGGGAGAAGGAUGAUGAUGAGGAGGAAGAGAUCCCCCCCCCCCCUCCCAAAAAAAAAAAAGAUGACUGAAGGUGCAUUGAGCAGCGCUCAACCUGGUAAACGAGGACG